rnacentral:misc_RNA from 1 species
GAAAUGCGAUAAGUAGUGUGAAUUGCAGAAUUCAGUGAAUCAUCGAAUCUUUGAACGCACAUUGCGCCCCUUGGUAUUCCAUGGGCAUGCCUGUUCGAGCGUCAUUUGUACCUUCAAGCUUUGCUUGGUGUUGGGUGUUUGUCUCGCCUCUGCGCGCAGACUCGCCUCAAAACAAUUGGCAGCCGGCGUAUUGAUUUCGGAGCGCAGUACAUCUCGCGCUUUGCACUCAUAACGACGACGUCCAAAAAGUACAUUUUUUACACUCUUGAUCUCGGAUCAGGUAGGGAUACCCGCUGAACUUAAGC